rnacentral:lncRNA from 1 species
GUUUGUUUAUUUGUUUGUUUAUUUAUUUGACAGGGACAUGUACAGGAGCAUUAAUCAGCAUAUGAAAAGAUGCUUUGUACCACACUUUAGCUCUUGGAGCUAAUUUCCAUCUGCAGUCCCCAAGACAUACAAAACACUACAAAAAGCAUAAAACAAUACAGUUCAUAAUAUUUACAGACAGUAUUUACAUUUUAUAAAAAAAAAAAAAGAACAUAUCAAAGUGAAAACUUCUAUAUGACCCCAAAUGGGUCAGUGAGUAUGUAAUGAAUGAGUAAUGCAUAAACAUAAGUGUACUUGAGAUUUUAGUUAAUUCGCGUUUAUCCCCGUUUUUAGUCCAGUCCGUCCUGUUUUGGUCAGUCUAAAACACACGAGGGAGCCUUCAGGCACACGCUCGCGCACGUCCAUAGCACUGUUGACGUCACGUCAUUGGAAAACCUUUUUUAAAUGAUUUUUUUAAGCUUUAAUAUUUAUUACGAAGAAAAAAAGGACAUGUCCUAAAAAGAAGUAAUUUGAAAGAAAUAUAUUAGUCUGAAACUCCAGAUGCCCUGUGGACCAUUUUACUGGCGGCUCCUUUUACAUGAUUGUCUAUGGCGAAAUGGGCUUUUUUGAGCCGCUGGCCUGCCACUAGCACAAAGGGGGUGGAUCCAUGGGUGGACCCCCCUCUGCCUUUGAGCGGUAAACUUUCGCGGUCAUCUUCACCACGGCAUUCAUCGAUUGAUACGUGACCAUGAAUGACAGACUUCAAGAAGCAGCCAGUAUUUUAAACUUAAUUCUUAACGCAUCUAGCACUUCCAGUGUUCUCGCCAAUGUGGGAACUGUGGAACAGUCAGCGAGGCAAUCGCCACAAUCUCAAGCUGAGGCGAGACAGUCAUCAACGGUGGACGACCGUCUAGCGUCUUUAUUCCCAAGUAGACGAUUCAACUCGUCCCAUACAUCGUGUCCUGAGCUUCAUGGCCAGACCACACCACGCUUUGAGUCUCAGCGAUGUUUUCAACGGUGGGCCACCACGGGACAGAAAAGGAAAAGGCCACCUUCCAAUCAACACGAAGAGUUCUACAAGGACGUUAUCCUCCUUGAAAACCCAAAGUGGGACAUGGUCUGUCGUAACAAAGCAAAAGAACAUUUGCAUAAAAAUGGACACGUACUUAAUGCAUUUAAAUUGAACAAGAACUGGGACCACAACACUCUCCUACUUAAAAUAAGGCAGGAGUUUGGGAAAGUCCUCCCUGAUGAAGUCAGCUUUAACUUUAUGAUGCCGUGUGGCCAAACAUUGGUGCCUCCCAAUUUGGAGAGAAAUCAAAAAAUGAAUAGAGUCUUACUGCACCAAGUUUUUAAAACGAAAACUAUCUAUCUGCGUCCCACAAGAACUCUGUUGACUGAGUCCAAUGAAAUAACCUCUGAAAAUGGUGACAGCGACAUUGAAUGUAUAUCCGAUGAUGAGACAACGUCAGAACAAAAUUACACCUUUUCACAAAAAAUGUCUCAUUUUCAAUAAAACAUAAUUGUUUCAAUGUUCGAAGCUAUGAAAAUAUUUUUAAAGUUG